CCUACGGGAGGCAGCAGUGAGGAAUAUUGGUCAAUGGACGGAAGCCUGAACCAGCCAAGUAGCGUGCAGGAUGACGGCCCUACGGGUUGUAAACUGCUUUUAUACGGGAAGAAAGCGCCGUACGUGUAGGGCUUUGCAUGUACCGUAUGAAUAAGGACCGGCUAAUUCCGUGCCAGCAGCCGCGGUAAUACGGAAGGUCCGGGCGUUAUCCGGAUUUAUUGGGUUUAAAGGGAGCGUAGGCGGCUCGUCAAUCGUGCUGUGAAGUGUCCGGGCUCACCCCGGGCCUUGCAGCGCGAACGGGCGUGCUUGAGUCCGCGGCAAGCAGGCUGACUUCGUCGUGUAGCGGUG
rnacentral:rRNA from 1 species